AAAAUUAGAGUGUUCAAAGCAGGCAGAUCCAAUUUUCUGCCACCGAAUACAUUAGCAUGGGAUAAUGGAAUAGGACCCUGUCCUCCUAUUUUCAGUUGGUUUUGGCAGCGCGAGGACUAGGGUAAUGAUUAAUAGGGAUAGUUGGGGGCAUUAAUAUUUAAUUGUCAGAGGUGAAAUUCUUGGAUUUAUGAAAGAUUAACUUCUGCGAAAGCAUCUGCCAAGGAUGUUUUCAUUAAUCAAGAACGAAAGUUAGGGGAUCGAAGACGAUCAGAUACCGUCGUAGUCUUAACCAUAAACGAUGCCGACCAGCGAUUAGGAGACGUUGAAUACAAAACACCACCAUCGGCGCGGUCGUCCUUGGCGUCGGUCCUUCACGGGGCCGGCGCGAGGGCGGCUUACCCCGGUGGCACCGGUGAA
rnacentral:rRNA from 1 species